rnacentral:lncRNA from 1 species
UAUACGUUUUAUUCAUACUUAGCUACCUUAUAAACGUUGCUUUAAACUGUGAUGUACAUUCAAAGGAAUGCCCCAAUUUAACACCAUUAUACCAGUCUGUUUCAGCGGAGACUAUGGUAUUUUCCAUGAAUUUAAGACCAGUAUAAGUAGAUACUAAAUGUGGUGUUUUAUCUGCGUGAAUUGCAAAUAUGGAAGAUGAAAUUAGGUGGCAUUUAUAUUACUGGAGAACAUCAGAGAAACAUGCACGUUUGAGAGCAUUUUAUGUUAUUUGAGAAAUAGUUUCCAUCAGGUAUAUAGACACGUGCUUAAUGGCUUCACUGGAUUACGCUGGAGACACAAUGUACUACGUUGUAUGUCGACUUUCUAGCUUUUGAUGCUGGAUGAAGACCCCGAAUGCCAAAUUCGUGCAUUAUUUCCGACACAAGAGGACACCUUAGUAUACUAUGGAAAGCGAUCUUCCGUAUGCCAGAUGGAUAGCUUUGACACACGAAGACAUCUCUAUCCAAAACGAGGUUUUGAACCUACCUCAAUGACGAGCAUAUGAUUCAAAGUUAACGACCUUAACCUCUCGGCCACGGAUAUCCCAUGUUUACAACUGUAUCUUACACUUCAGGUGAAAUUUCUUUUCACUGAACUCUUUUGUUUGUUUAUUAUGUGUGGUAUCUUAUGAGUUCAAAACGCGUUCUUAUGAAAACCAUGAAUCAUAAAAAUAGCACCAGCAAUGCAAAGUUUAAGGCGAAUGUUGCUGUGUUAUUCCGCCAGUGAUGGAUUUGCAAAUUAAAUCCAAAUUUGCAAAUUUGCGGCUGCAAAAAUAUAUUCUAUCAUUUAGUUUGAGGAUGUGAGUGAGGAAAUGGCGGCGACAGCAAAAAUAUAUUCUAUCAUUUAGUGUGAGGAUGUGAGUGAGGAAAUGGCGGCGACUACAAAAUAUAUUCUAUCAUUUAUUUUGAGGAUGUGAGUGAGGAAAUGGCGGCGACAGCAAAAAUAUAUUCUAUCAUUUAGUUUGAGGAUGUGAUUGAGAAAAUGGCGGCGAAUGCAAAAUAAUAUUCUAUCAUUCAGUUUGAUGAAGUUAGUGAGGAAAUGACGGCGACAACAAAAAUAUAGUCUUUCAUCUAGUUUGAGGAUGUGAUUGAGAAAAUGGCGGCGACUGCAAAAAUAUAUUCUAUCAUUUAGUUUGAGGAUGUGAGUAAGGAAAUGGCGGCGACAGCAAAAAUAUAUUAUUUCAACUAGUUUGAGGAUAUUGAGGAAAUGGCGGCGACAGCAAAAAUAGAUUAUAUCAUUUAGUUUGAGGAUGUGAUUAAGGAAAUGGCGGCGACAGCAAAAAUAUAUUCUAUCAUUUAGUUUUAGGAUGUGAGUGAGGAAAUAGCGGCGACUGCAAAAAUAUAUUCUAUCAUUUAGUUUGAGGAUGUGACUGAAGAUGUAAUGACAAAUAUUAUCUAUCAUAAAGACUGAUGAAUCAGAUGUGUAUCAAAUAAAAUCUAUCAUUUAGUUCGAAGAUGUGAUUGAGGAUGUGAUGGCAGUAAAAUCUAAUGGCAACUAAAAUUAUAUCAUUUAGAUUGCAGACCAAUCUUAGCUUAAUUGAAAUGGUACAAUCCAGUUAGGAUCUCAGAAUCAUUAAUAAUCAUUUGUACUAUACCACAGUAUUGAGGGAAAAGCGAGUGAGAAUGUCUUCCAGUAUAUGCGAAGCAAGUAUUAUCUGAAUGUUCUGUCAGAGAGAUCAUAUGCCGGAUAAAUAAUUCCCUGAUACAGGCAGGCGCUGCAGCUGUUUGACUUUACGGAUCCAAGGGCACACAAAUCUUCGUUUAAGAGAUAUAAAGAAUAUAUAUUAGUGCACAUGCGCACAACUACUCCGGGGAAUUUCAUGAAUAAAAGAAAUGAAUAAAAACUGAAGCACUCAUAGAAUUGAAACGGCAAGUAUGAACAAGAGUAUGACCCCGCAUGUGUUGAACAGUAUUUGCUACAUAAAUAUAUUUUUGCUUUGCAUUCUUACUGUCUUAAGGUUUUCAUAAAAACGGUACAAUUUGCCCUCUUUGUGUCACAUGACAUAUAUACUCGAGUUUCCGCACGUAUAAAUUAUUGCAGAAGGUAUUGCAGAAUUAAUUUUUUCUCAUGAUUGUUUUUAUCAGACAGAAAUCAAUCCAUCGUCUCCUUGAACUACAUUUACAUGUUGCGUUUUGAAUCAUCUAUUUUCAUUCCGUAUGUUUUGUUAUAGGAGAUUAUUCUAGAGGGUAUUCGAAUUUUGUGUAAUUAUGCCACAUUCCUUUUCAAAAAGGUAAUUUACUAGGAUAAUAAAAGCGAAAACGUUA